rfam:Stegodyphus mimosarum contig3617, whole genome shotgun sequence.
GCCUUCGUGGUGUAGUGGUCAGCACACUGAGCCAAUAUUUCAGAGGUCCGUGGUUCGAUUCCCGGCGAAGGCG